UUAAACAAAUCUCAUCUCAAAUUAAUAUUAUUAAAGCCACAAAUUAUCUUAAAUGCUACAUUUUACAUAAUUACUUCGGUCUGCCAGAAAAACUAGGCGAGACCUGAAACUCAGAAAAUUUACAACUGAUACAUCUACUAUUACUACUGCGGAGAAUCUAAGAUUUACCAAUUUACAUACCAAAUCAAAUACAUCACCCGAUGAUGAAGGAGUCGGGUUACUGAAUAAGAGUCGCAGGAGAACUAACAGUCACAAAUCUGAAAAAAAUAAAUGGAGACUGUCAGUCUCGAGAGUGAGUUAAAAUCAAAUAAUCUAGAGACUAUUGCAGUCUUCACAGGAAAUAUUAAUUAUUCGAAUCCAUAUAUCAAACCCUGAACAUAAACAGAAAUCAUGAUGUCAUCAUACCAUAAUAAAUAAAUAAAUAAAAAUAUAUAUUUACUUUUACGGGACGAGUGGCUCGGUAGAACCCUAAACCCCAAAUUCUAGUAGCCUUUCGGCUCUCUUAAUCCAACAGGUCUGGCGCCCAGAGAGCAAGCUCGAUCAGGGUCCUUACCUCCAGCCUGAACACUUGAAUUCCAAAUAAGCCGGCGCCCAUAGAGCAUUGCUCGAUCAGGGACCUUAACUCCGGCAAUCAACUGAACUCAGCCCAGAGAGCAAGCUCGAUCAGGGCAGACAAAUCCAUAAUAACCUUAUAUCCAUGAUCAUUACCGGUGCGCACGCGGUCCUGAUGUAACCCAUCAGGCGGCAUGUUCUACAAGCCACAUUUCCCAAAUCGCAAUCACCACAUUUAAUAAAUAUUAUUGUCUAAUUAAAUCAUUCAACCAUAUCAAAAUAACGAUUAUCAAUUUAGAGUAAGACUUCAGGCAACUCAUAAGGAAAACUGAUUAUAUUUGGUAUUAUCAUAACAUUACUAUAAUAACACUUAUAUUACCUUUAAUAAUUAGUAAUUCAGUGAAAUUAUUUACGUUGCGAAACUAAUAACCAUAUUAAGCAUGAACUUUCAAAAUAGCAUAUUAAAAUCAAACUUAGCAAUAGCGCAAUGAUUAAAUGACUUUAACUCACAGGUUUGGCGACCUCCUAGCUCUGCUCCGGUGCCUCGGUUGGAGCGAGCCAAACAGAC
rnacentral:lncRNA from 1 species